UACGGAGGGUGCAAGCGUUUGUCCGGAUUUAUUGGGUUUAAAGGGUGCGUAGGCGGUUAAUUAAGUUCAGUGGUGAAAUCCUGGAGCUCAACUUUCAGAACUGCCAUUGAUACUGGUUGACUUGAGUACAGACGAGGUUGGCGGGAAUUUGAUGGUGUAGCGGUGAAAUGCAUAGAUACCAUCAAGAACACCGAUUGCGAAGGCAGCUAACUAGGCUGUAACUACGCUGAGGCACGAAAAGUGUGGGG
rnacentral:rRNA from 1 species